ACUCAUCUUUGCCUAGACCUUCCGGUUUCCUGAAGUCCUAGCUGCUCCAGAUACGUGUCUCAUCCAGUGCUCAACUUGCUGUAGUGGAGACUGAAGGGUAUCCAUUACAAAGCCAUAAUGUUGGAAGAAUCCUUCUGGACUAAUCGCUCCAACACCAGUGAGAGAAGAAGAGAGGAGGUGUCCCCCAUGAACGGAGUCAGGAGAGAUGAAAGACUUCAAAUCUUGGGUUCAGUCUGCAUUCUCAUUGUAUACUCUAAAACUCAAGGUGGAUGGGCAAGCAAGUGAGAUUUUACAAAAGUGUUUAUGGUUAAGAGCAGCAGUUAAGACCAAUGACCCAUUGUUUCAGCUAUUUCUCCAGGUCACUGUUUCAGGCAGUAAGUGAAAUCAUGCUUGGCAAAUAGGUAAUGCUUUAAGUAAGUCAGUAAGUAAAUCAAUGAAUUAUUAUCCAAAAACUGGUCUUUUCUACCUUAGUCUUCUUUAGAAUCUCCAUAUAAAUAUCUAUAUGUUUAUCAGCUGCCUCCCCUGGGCUACAAGAUCUUCCAGACAGACAUUUUGACUCACUCAUCAGUGAGAUCCCAUUGUCUUGUGCAAUGAUCUCAAAAGAGUUUGGUUGUUUAAAUAAUAAUAACGGUGGUUUAUGAGCUGGGCUCUUGCUGAGCACUUUAUAAAUACUACCUAUUGCCUUCCCCUUUCCUAACAACUUAGUAGUAUCUACCAGGGGCCAGGGUCUUCAUUGUGCAAUUGGAGCAGUGAAGCUAAAGAGGUUUAGAAGUUCACUCAAGAGCUCACCUUCUCCCUGUUAGCAGAACCCACUCAAACCCAGGUUUGCUGGCAGCAGAGACUGUGUUGUUGAGCCUGGAUUAAAUAAUGUUUGCUGAGUAGUUAUUUCCAAGGCUGUCAGUUAGAGCACUCAUUAGGAAGAGACUCAUCUGUACAACACCCUUUUAAUUAAACAGUGUUACCAAGCCCCUUAGGAUAUACAAAGGAUCCAUUUGUAUCUCCCAAUUCUAUGUAGAAUGGGUUUUCAUUUUAACAAGUUGCUCCCAUGUCCAAUGGACCCUGUUAUCAAAAGGUCUGCUUCACACACACUGUCACUGGCACGAGUCAAGUGCACAGCUGUGGGUCCUCCCAGCCCACAACUGGUUCCUCCUAGCUCAUGAUUACAGGCACUUCACCAAGUUACAUUAUAUGUAGGAAAUUCAUAAGGGUGGUGUAAGUAGACAGAUUCAGGGUACUGAUGUCUUCUACUCCAUUAGGCAGAUGAGAAAAGUGUAUUUUUCUUUCCUUUUUCGUGUGUGUGUGUGUGUGUGUGUGUGUGUGUGUGUAUGUGAAACCCUUCCUUUCUCAUGCUUAACUUUUAUUGUUCACAGAGGAUUUCAAAGUAUUACCAGCCUAUGAGUUUCAUAUUGAGUCAUCUGGACAUAAGGGACUUUCAGAGCCUAAUGGGUGGGAUUUUAUAGUGCAUUUCUUUUUCAAUUCUGUGUGCAUUUAAA